rnacentral:rRNA from 1 species
AAUCAACGCUGGCGGCGUGCCUAACACAUGCAAGUCGAGCGAGAAAAGGGGAGCAAUCCCCUGAGUACAGCGGCGCACGGGUGAGUAACACGUGGGUAAUCUGCCCUGGAGUGGGGAAUAACACCGGGAAACCGGUGCUAAUCCCGCAUACGAUCACAGAGUCUGCGGAUUUUGUGAUGCAAGGAGCAAUUCGCUCUAGGAGGAGCCCGCGGCUGAUUAGCUAGUUGGUGAGGUAAUGGCUCACCAAGGCAACGAUCAGUAUCCGGUCUGAGAGGACGGUCGGACACACUGGAACUGAGACACGGUCCAGACUCCUACGGGAGGCAGCAGUGGGGAAUUUUUGGCAAUGGGGGCAACCCUGACCAAGCAACGCCGCGUGGGUGAUGAAGUCUCUUGGGACGUAAAGCCCUUUCGACGGGGACGAAAGCCGCAAGGUUUGACGGUACCCGUAGAAGAAGCCCCGGCUAACUCCGUGCCAGCAGCCGCCGUAAAAC